GACGAACGCUGGCGGCGUGCUUAACACAUGCAAGUCGAGCGGUAAGGCCCUUUCGGGGGUACACGAGCGGCGAACGGGUGAGUAACACGUGGGUGACCUGCCCUCAGCUCUGGGAUAAGCCUGGGAAACUGGGUCUAAUACUGGAUAUGACUCCACGGUGCAUGUCGUGGGGUGGAAAGACCUUGUGCGGCUGAGGAUGGGCCCGCGGCCUAUCAGCUUGUUGGUGGGGUGAUGGCCUACCAAGGCGACGACGGUAGCCGGCCUGAGAGGGCGACCGGCCACACUGGGACUGAGACACGGCCCACGACUCCUACGGGAGGCAGCAGUGGGGAAUCUUGCGCAAUGGGCGAAAGCCUGACGCAGCGACGCCGCGUGAGGGAUGACGGCCUCGGUUGUAAC
rnacentral:rRNA from 1 species